rnacentral:misc_RNA from 1 species
AGCUGGUGGUGCCCGGCUUGGCUCAAU